rnacentral:rRNA from 1 species
CCUACGGGUGGCAGCAGUGGGGGAUAUUGCACAAUGGGGGAAACCCUGAUGCAGCGACGCCGCGUGGGUGAAGAAGCGCCUCGGCGCGUAAAGCCCUGUCAGCAGGGAAGAAAAUGACGGUACCUGAAGAAGAAGCUCCGGCUAACUACGUGCCAGCAGCCGCGGUAAUACGUAGGGGGCAAGCGUUAUCCGGAUUUACUGGGUGUAAAGGGGGCGCAGACGGCGAUGCAAGCCAGGAGUGAAAGCCCGGGGCCCAACCCCGGGACUGCACUUGGAACUGCGUGGCUAGAGUGCAGGAGAGGCAGGCGGAAUUCGUGGUGUAGCGGUGAAAUGCGUAGAUAUCAGGAGGAACACCGGUGGCGAAGGCAGCCUGCUGGACUGCAACUGACGUUGAGGCCCGAAAGCGUGGGGAGCAAACAGGAUUAGAUACCCCGGUAGUC